GGGACAGGAGACGUGCUGUCUACCAAAAAGUAGUAGGGGCUCUGUCCUCCAUCCCCAACCCUCUCCCCCGUGUUCCCUGAUGUUCUAGCCGCCGACGCGCAGAUAGCUCCCGCCGUGCUCCGUCGCCGACGUCGCCGCCGUCCGCCGUGCGACGUCUCCGCCGUCGCUAGCUAGCCGUCCACGCCGCCGUCGCCAGCGCACGUCUUCGCCAUGCGCCGUCCCCGCCGUCGCCAUCGUACGUCUUCGCCGUGCGUCAUCCCCGUGCGCCGGCCCUACCGUCGCCAGCGAGCUAUCAACGACGCCGACGUCGCCAUCGUACGUCUUCGCCGUGCAUCGUCCCCAUGCGCCGGCCCUGCCGUCGCCAGCGAGCCGUCCACACGCGCCGCCGACUCGCAGGCAAUGGCCGCGGGGGCAACAACAGAGCGGACCGUUCCCCAUUGUUUGGAAGGGGCAAGGGGGUGAAUCCUCAAGUUUCUUCUCCCCUGUACCCAAGUACAUUGGCUAGCUGAUUCCUUCGCCGGGGGCUGCGUAAGGUGGCGAAUCGAGCAUCUCCGCCCAAGCAGGCACCACCGACGCCGAGGGAAUAGGUGCUGAAGGCUCUGUCUUCGACGCCGUGGCCAGGGAAGAAGGGUCGAGCCACGAAGGGUUCGGCGGCAACGAGCUGGGCUGCAGCAUGGACGAGCGCCUGUCUCCAAAUUUCGACGGUGCUGCUGCCCCAUCUGCUACAAGCGCCGGUGUCCAAGAGGGGGCCGGCGACGAGGACGACGUCGGGAUCGGGAAGUCGAGUUCAAGAAAAAAGCAAUGGCUGCCAUAGCCCAUAACAAGUUAUGGAGGGAGUGACGACGCACCAUGGGGAGCUUCUUCGCGCGAAGGGGCGCCGUCGAGCGGGUCAUGCGCGGUGGCGCCAUGGAGGAGUAGGCGAGGUGGGGGCGUUGGGCAACGGAGGAGCGGGCGAUGUGACGGAGGCAACGCGGGCCUGUCCUGGGCCAGGUUGUCGCGGCAGCUGCGCGCGUCCACCUGAGCGGCCGAUGAAGCGACGGCGACCGGGGCAGAACAGCGUGCGCCAGCUCCAAGUGGCUCGUGGCCUUCACGCAGCUCCUUGUCAACCCCUCGUCCUACAUGCCAUGUCAGCUCGUGCGGGAGCUUGACCUCGUCGCGCUGCUGCUAGCGCUGCCGCCGCAGGAGCUGCUCAAGCAAUGGUCCUCCCCGCGGCUGGGCAAGACGGAGCAUGGCGUCUGAAAAGUGCCGUCGUCCAAGGAGAAGGCGGCGAGGGAGCCCACGCUCAUGGUGCUCGACCUGCCGAAGUUGGCGCUGAACCGCGUGCUCGAGGAGGUGUCCCCGGCGUCGCUUUCCGCCAUGGCGUGCUUCUGCGCGAGGCUCAGGCUUGUUCCUCUGGUUUAGUCGUGUGUUGACAGUUAGUUAAACAGCAGCGGGCAGACUGUUUUUAGGAUCCUUUAUGUCCGACUACCACUGGCGUGUAAGCUGUUUCAUGUUGUGUUUUGUCAAUGAUAAUGAUCAAUAAAAAUGCCGGCGGCGAGUAAU